rnacentral:RNase_P_RNA from 1 species
UCGAACAGUCGCGUAUAAAAUUCGCAAGGAUUUAUAUGAGGAAAGUCCGGGCUCCACAGAGCAAGGGUGCUGGAUAACAUCCAGUGAGGGUAACCUUAAGGAAAGUGCAACAGAAAAUAACAGCUAAGAGCUUACAGGCUUUUAGCAAUGGUGAAAAGGCGAGGUAAGAGCUCACCGCCAGCUUGGAGACAAGCUUUGGGUCAAUGUAAACCCCACCCGGAGCAACACCUAAAAAGAAGGCUAAGAUGGCUCGUCAUCUUCUGAAUUGGUGGCUUGAGGUAUAUAGUAAUAUAUAUCCUAGAUAAAUGGCUGUUCACGACAGAACCCGGCUUAUAGAUAUACUC